UGUAAUUCUAAUAAAAAUUCCAACAGGUUUCUUUACAGAAAUGGAAAAACCUAUCCUUAACUUUAUAUGGGAUGUUAAGAAGCACCGAAUAUCUAAAGCAAUGUUGAAAGAGAAGAACAAAGUAGGAGGACUCACACUUCCUGAUUUUAAAACAUAUUAUACAGCUACAGUAAUCAAAACAGCCUGGUACUGGUAUAACAAUAGACACAGACCAAUAGAAUAUAAUUGAGAGUCCAGAAAUAAACCCACACAUCUAUGGUCAAAUUUUUUUUUGACAACACUGCCAAGUCUGUUUGAUGGAGAAAGAAAAGUCUCUUCAAUAAAUGCUGUUGGGAAAUUGGAUUUCCACAUGCAGAAAAAUGAAACAGGAUCCAUGUCCCACCCCAUACACAAAAAUGAAUUCAAAAUGGAUUAAGGACCUAGAUGUGAAAAAUAAAACCAUGAAAUUCUUGGAGGAAAACACAUGGGCGACACUGUCAGACCCACUCGUAACAAUGGAUUAUCUAACAUAAUAAUAAAAGUACAAACAGCAAAAAACUAAAUAAAUAAAUGAAACCUCAUAAAAAUUUGAAAAGUUUUGUUCCUCCAAAGACUUUACCAAAAAGGUGAACAGACAAGCUACGGACUUGGAGGAUAUCUUCGGAAAGCAUGUAUCCAAUAAGAAUUUAAUAACCAAAAAAUAUUUAAAACUUUGACAACAGAAAGACAAAUAACCCAAUCAUAAAGUGGACAAAGGACUUGAAUAGACAUUUCACCAAAGAGUACAUUUAACUGGCCACCAAACCCAUGAAAAUGUGCUUAACAUCAUUAGCCAUCAGAGAGCUGCAAAUCAAAAGUACAAUGAGAUACCAUUUCACUCCCACAAGGAUGGCUAAGAUUAAAAAAAAAAAAAAUACAGCUGCUGGUGAGAAUGUGGGAAAAUUGGAAUCCUUAUCCAUUGCUAGUAGGUAUUCAAAAACAUACAGCCACUGUGGAAAACAGUGUGGUGGUUCCUCAAAAACUAAAAAUAGAACUACCAUAUGACCCAGCAAUUCCUCUCCUGAGUAUAGACUGAGAAGUCCUGAAAGCAGAGACUCCAACAGAUACUUGUGCACCACUGUUUGUUGUACAAUAGCUGAAAGGUGGAGACGACCUAAAUGCCGUCAACGGAUGAAGGGAAAAACAAAAUGUGGUACAUACAUGCGAUGGAGUACUACUCAGUCAUAAAGAAAAAUGAAGUCUUGAUACAUGCUACAACAAGAAUGUAGCCUGAAGACAUUAUGCUGACAGGUGCUGGAAUAGCUUCAAUCAAAAGAUCACACUCGAAGAAUUCUCAGGUUUUGGUUUGUGCCUCUUCUAAAGCAUGGAUCAUGGUUUGCUUGGUCUGAUAGUAACUUGUUCUCAGGAAAGGUUUCAUCUCUUUCCCCGUUUCAGACCCACUAAAGGUGCAUCCAAAGUAAUUUUAAUCUGCAUUUGGAUUAGUGUCUGUUGGUAACGGUGAUUUUAAUUGCUCAGAAAAGACAUCGUGUUUGGUAAAGUAGAGGGUCGGUGAAAACGAAGGAAAUCCUCAAUAAGCUGGAUUGACACAAUAGCCCAACGAUGGACUCAAACGUACUGAUAAUCAUGAAGAUGGCACAGGACUGGGCAACGUUUUGUUCUGUUAUACAUCAGGUUGCCCCAAGUUGGAGCACACUCAGUGGUAGCUAACAACAACAACAGUGGUAAUUACCAUGGGUAAUCGGAAUGUUUAAAAAGCAGUUCGUGCAAACUGCAACCAAGCCCUGCUUACAAACAGAGUAGCUAAUCCGGAUGGAGUCCGCUCCCUCAUUUCUACUGAUGAGAACACUGAUGUUCAGAAGGUUCAAUAGUUCACCUGUAGUCGGACAACCAGAAAGACAGAAUGGGCACCCUGCCACAGAACAAUCCCGGGUUUGCUCCCCUCCACCUUUAUGCUUUUUCCUUCCAGGUUACCCCAACCCCCAAAUCUGGGCAUUACCUUCACUAGGUCUUUCCCCCUUCCCUUCCAUGUCAGAAGCGUCAGCUACACUGUAGUCUCCACAGUGACAACAUACUAGUGUCUUAAUUUCAUAGUGUUUCUGAAACAGAAACACCACAAGAAGGUGGCUUUAAAAGACAAAAUUUUAUUUUCUCACAGUUCUGGAGGCUAAAAGCCCAAAUCAGAGUCUUGGGCAUGUUGAUUCCUUCCUGGUUGGUAGCCCUGGUGCUCCAUGAUUCCUUGGCUUGUAGACAACCUUCACAUGGCAUCUGCAUGUGUGUGUCUGUCUAAUCUGCUCUUUUUGUAACUCAGAAGUGAUUAGGUUUAGGACAUACCCUUCACCAAUAUGGCCUUAUUAACAUAAAAAAGAAAACCCUAUUUCCAAGUGGGAUUAGAUCCUCUGAGACAGGAGUUAGGAUUCUGACACCGAUAUUGGGAGACACAAUUCAAUCCAGCACUCCUGGGAUCCCUCCAGUUCCCCAUUACAUACUUUGGAUCCCUCCAGAUCGGUGCAUCCCUGUCACUAUUAGUCGAAGGCAUCUUCAUAUCUUGAUGGACUCUUGCAAGUGAUUUCUGACUGGGCAUUCUGCUUCCACACUUCAUCCCCUAGAAUCCUGUCUCCCUAGAGCAGCUGGGGUGAUCUUUUUAGACACGAUUUCAAAAGCUCCUUUUCCCACUCACUGUAACAUCCACACCCACAGUCCUGGCUUAUCAGGUCCUUGGCUCAGGGUCCAGCUCUCAGAACUCCCUCCUCCACGCUGCCCUCCCCGUCUUCUCUGCAGACAAUGGGCCUUGACUAUGCUCUGCAAGGACAUCAAGCUGCAUCCACCCUUAGGGUUUCGCACCAGCUCUUAUAUCUUGCUGGAAU